rnacentral:rRNA from 1 species
UACGUAGGGGGCAAGCGUUGUCCGGAAUCAUUGGGCGUAAAGCGCGCGUAGGCGGCCCGGUAAGUCCGUUGUAAAAGUCGAAGGCUCAACCUUCGAAAGCCGAUGGAUACUGCCGGGCUAGAGUCCGGAAGAGGCGAGUGGAAUUCCUGGUGUAGCGGUGGAAUGCGCAGAUAUCAGGAGGAACACCGAUAGCGAAGGCAGCUCGCUGGGACGGUACUGACGCUGAGGCGCGAAAGCGUGGGGAGCGAACAGG